rnacentral:piRNA from 1 species
AGGAAAGGGAACGCAGUUGAAGCACU